AUGGCAAAAGGAAGGAAAGACCUGCUGAGAACCAAAAACACCGCUGUACAAAAGGUCGACGUACAAACUAAGACAAAGGAAAACAAACCAUCUCGUGAACAGGAUCGCACAGGUAAAGGGCAGUCAGCUGUCCAAACUGUGCUGCAUCUAAACAAACCAAAGUCCCCCCUCAGUGAGAACUCAAGUUUGACGAUUCAGGAAGGAACUGACACCGAUGCAAGGAAUCCUGACAUCAUAAAGCUGAGAAAAGGCAAGUCAUUGAAUGAUCGGGUCCAUACAUUUGUAUUACGUGAUCUGCCUGUGUCAUGGCGUGGUCACCAGAUCUUCGCUGCGUAA
rnacentral:lncRNA from 1 species